rnacentral:rRNA from 1 species
UACGGAGGGUGCAAGCGUUAAUCGGAAUUACUGGGCGUAAAGCGCGCGCAGGCGGUUAAUUAAGUCAGAUGUGAAAGCCCCGAGCUUAACUUGGGAAUUGCAUCUGAAACUGGUUGGCUAGAGUCUAGGAGAGGAGGGUAGAAUUCCAUGUGUAGCGGUGAAAUGCGUAGAGAUGUGGAGGAAUACCGGUGGCGAAGGCGGCCCUCUGGACUGAGACUGACGCUGAGGUGCGAAAGCGUGGGGAGCAAACAGG